UCGCUUCUGCCGAGGCAAGGGCGCCUGUCGCUUCUGCCGAGGCAAGGGCGCCUGUCGCUUCUGCCGAGGCAAGGGCGCCUGUCGCUUCUGCCGAGGCAUUUGAACCAGAUUCCGCACUUGAGGUACCGUGGCCGGUUGCUUCCGCUGCAGAGGCAAAGUGGCCGGUUGCUUCACCGAAGGUAUUUAGGCCAGUCGUGGCGCUUGAUGAAGCACUGUGGCAAAUUGCUUCACCUAAGGUAUUUGGGCCAGCUGCCACACUUGUCGAGGCAUUAUGGGUGGCCGCUUGCGUGGCACUGUGGCCAGUUGCUUCCUCUGCAGAGGCACUGUGGCCAGUUACUUCACCUGAGGCACUUGGGCCAGUCGUGGCGCUUGAUGAAGCAUUGUGGCCAGUUGCUUCAGCUAAGGUAUUUGGGCCAGCUACCACACUUGUCGAGGCAUUAUGGGUGGCCGCUUGCGUGGCACUGUGGCCAGUUGCUUCCUCUGCAGAGGCACUGUGGCCAGUUGCUUCACCUGAGGCACUUGGGCCAGUCGUGGCGCUUGAUGAAGCAUUGUGGCCAGUUGCUUCAGCUAAGGUAUUUGGGCCAGUCGUGACGCUUGCUGAGAUAUUAUGGGUUGCUGCUUCUGCUGAGGCACGGGAGUCGGAUACUUCACCCAAGGUAUUUGGGCCAGUCGUGACGCUUGAUGAAGCAUUGUGGCCAUUUGCUUCACCUAAGAUAUUUGGGCCAGUCGUGACGCUUGCAGAGGCAUUGUGGUUGGCCGCUUCUGAGGCAUUAUGAGUGGCCGUUUGCAUGGCACUGUGUCCAGUUGCUUCCGCUGCCGAGGCACCGUGGCCAGUUGCUUCACCUAAGGUAUUUGGGCCAGUUGCCAUUCUUGCCGAGGCAUUAUGGGUGAUGGCUUGCGCGGCCCUGUGGCCAGCUGCUUCACCUAAGGCAUUUGGGACAGUCGUGGCGCUUGAUGAAGCAUUGUGGCCAGUUGCUUCAGCUAAGGUAUUUGGGCCAGUCGUGACGCUUACAGAGGCGUUAUGGGUGGCUGCUUCACCUGCUGAGGCACGGGAGCCGGUAGCUUCACCUGUCGAGGCACGGGAGCCAGUAGCUUCCGCUGCAUUGUGGCCAGUUCCUUUUACUUGAUUUUGGGGAAUAUAUCUAUAAUUACCUACAAAAGAAAAUAAUACGUUUCAAAUUGUAAAAUGCCAGCAUUUGAAGCCAUUUAAUUUCACUGAAUUAAAUGUGCAGAACAAAACACACCUUUAGGUGGAGGAUAACAGGUUAUCCCUCCAAUUAGCAGGCAACAAAUCCAAGAAAUUCUAAAUAAAAAUAAAAACAUCCUAGUCAGUUAAAUACAGCUACCUGUAAAACAUGGAAGACAAGGGAAUCAAAC
ensembl:lncRNA